AGGGAGACUGUCCCAGGU
rnacentral:siRNA from 1 species